rnacentral:rRNA from 1 species
GACAAACGCUGGCGGCAUGCCUCACACAUGCAAGUCGAGCGAAUGACGAGGAGCUUGCUCCUCUGAUUUAGCGGCGGACGGGUGAGUAACACGCGGGUAACCUGCCUGUAAGACGGGGAUAACUCCGGGAAACAGGAGCUAAUACCGGAUGCUAACGAGAAGCGCCUGCUUCUUUUUUGAAAGUCGGUUUCGGCUGACGCUUACAGAUGGGCCCGCGGCGCAUGAGCUAGUUGGUGAGGUAACGGCUCACCAAGGCGACGAUGCGUGGCCGACCUGAGAGGGUGAUCGGCCACACUGGGACUGAGACACGGCCCAGACUCCUACGGGAGGCAGCAGUAGGGAAUCUUCGGCAAUGGACGAAAGUCUGACCGAGCAACGCCGCGUGAGCGAUGAAGGCCUUCGGGUCGUAAAGCUCUGUUGCCAGAGAAGAACAAGUACCGGAGUAACUGCCGGUACCUUGACGGUACCUGACCAGAAAGCCACGGCUAACUACGUGCCAGCCGCCGCAGUAAAAC